rnacentral:lncRNA from 1 species
GCAGCAUGGAGUUUGGGGAAGCAGGAGGAAAUUGGAGCUGAGCACGGAUCAUCCACUGUGCACCGCACUGUGCAUACUGUGCACCGUCCAUCACGCAAUGGAUGGCCAUGCAUGGCUGUGUGCAACGAGCGUGCAUCCACGUGCGGUCAUCUAUCAUGCGAUGGAUGGUGCACUGUGCACCGUAUCAUGCAAAAGAGAGAUGUUGUGUGGGAAUUAAUUUUGUGAAAGAUGGGUCCAUGAAUUAAUGA